CGGGGGUGGGUGCGAGGGGUCGAUGGGGUCAGGGGGGGGUUGGCUGGAGGUCAGCCAUGCAUUUUCGUGGGGAUGUUGC
rnacentral:ribozyme from 1 species